rnacentral:tRNA from 1 species
UUUAAUGUGGCAGAUUAGUGCAAUGAAUUUAAGCUUCAUAUAUAAAAUUUUUAUUUUCAUUAAAA